CUGGAGGCGCCGCCAGCAGCAGCCGCCGCCGCUGCCGCUGCUGAGUGGGGGAAGAAGACGCGCGCGGCCGCCGCCGCCGCAGCUGCAGCCGCCUUCUCAGGGUUGGAGAGCAAAGAGUCAGAUCAGAUUGAAGUGAACAAAGUUUUGAAUUAUUGACUAAUUCCAGUACUGAACUGACCAACUAAGUAAGAAUGUCAAGUUAUGCUGUGGAUAUCCUCUGCAGAUUUCACUCUGCAAUGUGUCAGGUGAAGUCCAGGACAAAGUUGCAGCCGAUAUCUGUAUGCCUUCCCUGAUCAUCCCAGUGUAUGAAUCAACGGUAACAAUAAUCUAU